UGGUUGUUAUAACUUUCUAAAAGAAAUGGUUGGCUUGUUGAAGCAUGUAUAAAGUACAUACGAGUGAAUUACCAAACAUUUGGGAGGAGUCCUGUGCACUUCCAGAUCACUGAGAUAUAUCUGAAGCCUGUCAGCCAUUUCCAGGCAGUGACCCUGGAAUCAUCUUCACAAAUAAUUUUUUUGCUUUAUUUGUAUUUUUCUAUCAUACCAUAUUAAUUUCUGUAUUGGAUUUCUUAUGCGUCUUUUUGGCAUCUGCAUCACUUCAACAUAUUGCUAAACAAUGAAGGUUCGAGUUGAGAAUGUGCUUUACACAUGAAGCCAAAGUCUACAAGGUUAACCAAGGUCUACAAGGACAUGAAAGAAUGUGACAGAAGCAGAAAACGGUGGAGAGAUUCGCCUUGAAGCUGGUUUUGAUAAUACAAACACAUUCAGAGUUUCUGUCCAGUAUGUGGACAACCAAGAAGGGAUUUCUGAAGACACUUUUAAGGACGAUAAUACA